GGAGAUUCUCAGCCUCUUGACUAAAAUCAAGUGUAGUAUCUGUUCUUACCAGUUUAAUAUCUGAUACGUCCUCAGUUGAGAGGAAAAUUCCUUUUGGUCAGGUGCUGUCACAGGCUGCCCAGGGAGGCAAUUGAGUCACCAUUCCUGGAGGUGUCCAAGAAAU
rnacentral:snRNA from 1 species